rnacentral:tmRNA from 1 species
GGGGCCGAUCGGUUUCGACGGUGUGUGUCGCGUCGGGAGAAGCGGGCCGAGGAUGCAGAGUCAUCUCGUCAAACGCUCUCUGCAAACCAAUAAGUGCCGAAUCCAAGCGCACUGACUUCGCUCUCGCUGCCUGAUCAGUGAUCGAGUCCGUCACCCCGAGGUCGCUGUCGCCUCGGACCGUGGCGUCAGCUAGAUAGCCACUGGGCGUCACCCUCGCCGGGGGUCGUGACGCCGACAUCAAUCCGGCUGGGUCCCGGGUUGGCCGCCCGUCUGCGGGACGGCCAGGACCGAGCAACACCCACAGCAGACUGCGCCCGGAGAAGACCUGGCAACACCUCAUCGGACGCGGGUUCAAUUCCCGCCGGCUCCACUC